GACGAACGCUGGCGGCGUGCUUAACACAUGCAAGUCGAACGGAAAGGCCCUGCUUUUGUGGGGUGCUCGAGUGGCGAACGGGUGAGUAACACGUGAGUAACCUGCCCUUGACUUUGGGAUAACUUCAGGAAACUGGGGCUAAUACCGGAUAGGAGCUCCUGCUGCAUGGUGGGGGUUGGAAAGUUUCGGCGGUUGGGGAUGGACUCGCGGCUUAUCAGCUUGUUGGUGGGGUAGUGGCUUACCAAGGCUUUGACGGGUAGCCGGCCUGAGAGGGUGACCGGCCGCAUUGGGACUGAGAUACGGCCCAGACUCCUACGGGAGGCAGCAGUGGGGAAUAUUGCACAAUGGGCGGAAGCCUGAUGCAGCAACGCCGCGUGCGGGAUGACGGCCUUCGGGUUGUGUACCGCUUUCGCCUGUGACGAAGCGUGAGUGACGGUAAUGGGUAAAGAAGCACCGGCUAACUACGUG
rnacentral:rRNA from 1 species